UCAUAAAAAAUAAUUCCAUUUGUGAGCUUGGAAAAUCAGUGGAAGUUGCAUUUCCCAAGUGGAAAACAAAAAUGAGGUCCAAAGCUGUUGCGUUUGCUUGUAUAUUAUUUAUCUCUACUGUUGUUAUUUCAUCGGCAGUGUCUGAAGGAACUCAAGAGCAGAAUGAGUUGAAUAUGAAAAUCUAGUAGAAGAAUCAAAGCAAGUUUGCUCUUAUGGAUGCUGCCAAGUUAUUGGUCAUUAUUGUGUCAAAUGCUGUCCUGGUCCUGCAGAAGUAGAUGCCACCGUCGAAAACCAAAAUGAGAACACAAUAGAAGAGAGUGAAGUGGAGACAAACGGAUUCAUAGGCAAAGGUGGAAAAGGAGGCAAAGGGAGAGGUGGGAAGUGAUCAAUGGAGGCUGUUUAAUAUAGUCACAAAGUUGUAGUUGUAGGGUACCUUACCUUAAUGUUAGGGGUACCAUAUACCCAAUAAAUAAGCAAAAAUAAAAAUUGAAGCAAGGGAUAUGGUGGGCUAGAAUAGAAGGGUUGGAAUAUCCCUUUACCAAUGUAA